rnacentral:lncRNA from 1 species
GCCUCCGCCCCGUCGCCGGCCUCCGUCCGCGGCAUCCGCGCCGUCCGCCGUGGGGCAGGCUACCUGCCCUCGUCGCCGUAGCCGUCACCGUCUGCCGUCCAAGCAUCGCCGCACCGUCCCAGCCGUCGGAGCCGCCGCUGAGUUUGCCUCUGUCGUCGCCAAAUCCCAGUUCGCCUCUGCCGAGUCCGCCGCCCUCGCUGCCGCCGUCAGUCGAAUCUGCCUCUGCCCUCUGCAGAUCGAGCUGCCGAGUCCGCCGCCGGACAAGGCAAGCUGUUGUUCUUGUUCUUGUACUGCAAAUAGAACAAGAACGAGAACACUAUAAGUUG